UGAUAGCUGUGAAGCGUGAGGUUGCUUCAUUACUCUGGGUACUAUGAGUUAUGAAGGUUUUCCGUGGAGCGAAUGUCAAUUAACCGACGACAA
rnacentral:ncRNA from 1 species